GGGUAUAGACCCGAAACCCGGUGAUCUAGCCAUGGGCAGGUUGAAGGUUGGGUAACACUAACUGGAGGACCGAACCGACUAAUGUUGAAAAAUUAGCGGAUGACUUGUGGCUGGGGGUGAAAGGCCAAUCAAACCGGGAGAUAGCUGGUUCUCCCCGAAAGCUAUUUAGGUAGCGCCUCGUGAAUUCAUCUCCGGGGGUAGAGCACUGUUUCGGCAAGGGGGUCAUCCCGACUUACCAACCCGAUGCAAACUGCGAAUACCGGAGAAUGUUAUCACGGGAGACACACGGCGGGUGCUAACGUCCGUCGUGAAGAGGGAAACAACCCAGACCGCCAGCUAAGGUCCCAAAGUCAUGGUUAAGUGGGAAACGAUGUGGGAAGGCCCAGACAGCCAGGAUGUUGGCUUAGAAGCAGCCAUCAUUUAAAGAAAGCGUAAUAGCUCACUGGUCGAGUCGGCCUGCGCGGAAGAUGUAACGGGGCUAAACCAUGCACCGAAGCUGCGGCAGCGACGCUGAUGCGUUGUUGGGUAGGGGAGCGUUCUGUAAGCCUGCGAAGGUGUGCUGUGAGGCAUGCUGGAGGUAUCAGAAGUGCGAAUGCUGACAUAAGUAACGAUAAAGCGGGUGAAAAGCCCGCUCGCCGGAAGACCAAGGGUUCCUGUCCAACGUUAAUCGGGGCAGGGUGAGUCGACCCCUAAGGCGAGGCCGAAAGGCGUAGUCGAUGGGAAACAGGUUAAUAUUCCUGUACUUGGUGUUACUGCGAAGGGGGGACGGAGAAGGCUAUGUUGGCCGGGCGACGGUUGUCCCGGUUUAAGCGUGUAGGCUGGUUUUCCAGGCAAAUCCGGAAAAUCAAGGCUGAGGCGUGAUGACGAGGCACUACGGUGCUGAAGCAACAAAUGCCCUGCUUCCAGGAAAAGCCUCUAAGCAUCAGGUAACAUCAAAUCGUACCCCAAACCGACACAGGUGGUCAGGUAGAGAAUACCAAGGCGCUUGAGAGAACUCGGGUGAAGGAACUAGGCAAAAUGGUGCCGUAACUUCGGGAGAA
rnacentral:rRNA from 1 species